AGAGUUUGAUCCUGGCUCAGGACGAACGCUGGCGGCGUGCCUAACACAUGCAAGUCGAGCGGGGACUUGUUGAGGAAGUCUUCGGAUGAAAUCGAUAAGUUCUAGCGGCGGACGGGUGAGUAACGCGUGAGCAACCUGCCCUCCACAGGGGGAUAACGCACCGAAAGGUGCACUAAUACCGCAUAAGACCACGGCACUGACAUGGUGCAGGGGUCAAAGGAGCAAUCCGGUGGAAGAUGGGCUCGCGUCUGAUUAGCUAGUUGGUGAGGUAACGGCCCACCAAGGCGACGAUCAGUAGCCGACCUGAGAGGGUGAUCGGCCACAUUGGAACUGAGAGACGGUCCAAACUCCUACGGGAGGCAGCAGUGGGGAAUAUUGGGCAAUGGGCGAAAGCCUGACCCAGCAACGCCGCGUGAAGGAAGAAGGUUUUCGGAUCGUAAACUUCUAUCCUUGGUGAAGAUAAUGACGGUAGCCAAGAAGGAAGCCCCGGCUAACUACGUGCCAGCAGCCGCGGUAAUACGUAGGGGGCAAGCGUUGUCCGGAAUGAUUGGGCGUAAAGGGCGCGUAGGCGGCCAACUAAGUCUGGAGUGAAAGUCCUGCUUUUAAGGUGGGAAUUGCUUUGGAAACUGGAUGGCUUGAGUGCAGGAGAGGUAAGCGGAAUUCCCGGUGUAGCGGUGAAAUGCGUAGAGAUCGGGAGGAACACCAGUGGCGAAGGCGGCUUACUGGACUGUAACUGACGCUGAGGCGCGAAAGUGUGGGGAGCAAACAGGAUUAGAUACCCUGGUAGUCCACACUGUAAACGAUGAAUGCUAGGUGUAGGGGGUAUCGACCCCUUCUGUGCCGGAGUAAACACAAUAAGCAUUCCGCCUGGGGAGUACGGCCGCA
rnacentral:rRNA from 1 species